GGAGGGAUAGCGAAGAGGCUAAACGCGACGGACUGUAAAUCCGUUCCCUACGGGUUCGAAGGUUCGAAGGUUCGAAUCCUUCUCCCUCCA
rnacentral:tRNA from 1 species